AAGAUAUUGUCAUGACAUGUCAUACAUAAAUACUUUCUACAACCAAGUCACAAAUACUGUCAUGGCAUGUCAGACAUACAUCUCACAACCAAGUAAAAAAUAAUGUGAUGAAGUGUCAGAAAGUUAUAAUGUUUCAUAAUCAAAAUAUACCCAUCAUGACAUGUCAGACAGACAUACUUCUCUCAACCAAGUCACAAAUAUUGUAAUGACGUGUCAGACAGAUAUACUUCUUACAACAAAGUCACAAAUAUUGUAAUAACAUGUCAGACAGAUAUACUUCUCUCAACCAAGUCACAAAUAAUGUAAUGACAUGUCAGACAGACAUACUUCUCACAACCAAGUCACAAAUAAUGUGAUGACAUGUCAGACAAAUAUAUUUCUCACAGCCGUCACAAAUAAUGUGUUGACAUGUCAGAU
rnacentral:lncRNA from 1 species